UACGUAGGGUGCGAGCGUUAAUCGGAAUUACUGGGCGUAAAGCGUGCGUAGGCGGUUCUCCAAGUCCGUUGUGAAAGCCCCGGGCUCAACCUGGGAAUGGCAGUGGAAACUAGGGGACUGGAAUCUGGCAGAGGGGGGUGGAAUGCCGCGUGUAGCAGUGAAAUGCGUAGAGAUGCGGCGGAACACCGAUGGCGAAGGCAGCCCCCUGGGCUGAGAUUGACGCUCGAUGCACGAAAGCGUGGGGAGCAAACAGG
rnacentral:rRNA from 1 species